AGUUGUGGCCGCGACUGCCCGGGAGUGGCGCUUGCCGCGGUCCGGGCUUGCACCCCGCUGGGCAAAGUACCCGGGGCUGUCACACGGCGAGCUGAGCCCUGGGCCGGCGGAACAGCAAGCCAUUGGAGAGUCCUGAGCAGAGAAAGGACUGACCUGCCUCAUGUUUUAAAUCUGGCUGCCGUAUUGGAAGUAGAUUGGAGGAAAAAAAAGUGGAAGCCCUGGGACCCACCAUCAUGAACAAUCGGGGAGAAGACAAGAGGCCAGCAAAGGAAUGAACACAGGGACGCAUGAGACAUUUGGUGCCGAAGACCUGGGUCAGCGGGACUCCUUUGGGAGACCAGUCCCCCAUCCUCACCCUCACUCUGUGAAGAGAUCCACCUACGACCUUGGGUCCUCAGACCAACCAGCCUAAGGAACAUCUCACCUAUUUUAAAUCGGGUAAGCGGCCUCUUUCUACUCUCUUCUCCAACCUCUCUCACUAUCCCUCAACCUCUUUUCCUUUCAAUCUUGGCACCACCCUUCAGUCUCUCCCUUCUCUUAAUUUCAAUUCCUUUCAUUUUCUGGUAGAGACAAAGGAGACACAUUUUAUCUGUGGACCCAAAACUCCGGCACAGGUCACAGACUCAGGAACACAGCCUUCCCUUGGUGUUUAAUCAUUGUGGGGAUGCCUGCCUGAUUAUUCACCCACAUUCCGUUGGUGUCUGAUCUCCGUGGGGAUGCCUAACUUGGUCAUUCACCCACAUUCCCUUGGUGGCAAGUUAAUUGUAGGGACAAUUGCUUUGGCUGCUCACCCACAUUGCAGCCCAGGGCUGCUCAUGUCACCCCUUCUCUCCGUGUCUCUACCCUCUCUUUUCUCUCCACUUUCCUGGGGGGCAAGCACCCCCCACCCCUUCUCUCUGUGUCUCUGCCCCUUUUCCACUUUCCUGGGGGGCAAGAACCUCCCACCCCUUCUCUCCGUGUCUCUGCCCCUUUUCCAUUUUCCUAGGGGGGCAAGUACCCCCCACCCCUUCUCUCCAUGUCUCUGCCCCUUUUCCACUUUCCUGGGGGGCAAGCACCUCCCACCCCUUUUCCACUUUCCUGGGGGGCAAGCACCUCCCACCCCAUUUCCACUUUCCUGCGGGGGCAAGCACCUUCUUUUCAAGGGCCUGUUUCCCUUGCCUCCAUAACUGUUGUGAGUAUUGACAGCCAGGCUUCUAAACCUCUUAAAACUCCCCAACUCUGGUGCCAACUUGGACAACAUUCUUUAAUGAACUCCUUUUUAGUUAUCCCACCUGCCCAGCUCGCUUAUUAGUUCAAAACAUUGUAACUAAAUUAUCUGCUUCCCUGACUAUUCCUGGGUUAAAGCCACACCUCACUACUGCCUUUUGCCCCAGUUCAAUGCCUCCUGCACAUCCUCUCCUUGUAUCUCCCCACCUUAAUCCACAAGUGUAGGACACCUCUACUCCCUCCUUGGCGAUGGAUGAUGCACCCCUUACCAUCCUAUUAAAAUCUAAUCACCCUUACCCUGCUCAGUGCCAAUAUCCCAUCCCACAGCACGCUUUAAAAGGAUUAAAGCCUGUUAUCACUUGCCUGUUACAGCAUGGCCUUUUAAAGCCUAUAAACUCUCCUUACAAUUCCCCCAUUUUACCUGUCCAAAAACUGGACAAGUCUCACAGGUUAGUUCAGGAUCUGCGUUUAUCAACCAAAUUGUCUUGCCUAUCCACCCCAUGGUGCCAAAGCCAUAUACUCUCCUAUCCUCAGUACCUCCCUCCACAACCCCUCCAUAACCCAUUAUUCUGUUCUGGAUCUCAAACAUGCUUUCUUUACUAUUCCUUGCACCCUUCAUCCCAGCCUCUCUUUGCUUUCACUUGGACUGACCCUGACACCCAUCAGGCUCAGCAAAUUACCUGGGCUGUACUGCCACAAGGCUUCACGGACAGCCCCCAUUACUUCAGUCAAGCCCAAAUUUCUUCCUCAUCCAUUACCUAUCUCGACAUAGUUCUUCAUGAAAACACACGUGCUCUCCCUGCUGAUUGUGUCUGGCUAAUCUCCCAAACCCCAACCCCUUCUACAAAACAACAACUCCUUUCCUUCCUAGGCAUGGUUGGAUACUUUCACCUUUAGAUACCUGGUUUUGCCAUCCUAAUAAAACCAUUAUAUAAACUCACAAAACCAAACCUAGCUGACCCCAUAGAUCCUAAAUCCUUUCACCACUCCUCUUUCUGUUCCUUAAAAACAGCCCUAGAAGCUGCCCCCACACUAGCUCUCCCUAACUCAUCCCAACCCUUUUCAUUACACACAGCCAAAGUACAGGGCUGUGCAGUCAAAAUUCUUACACAAGAGCUGGGACUGCACCCUGUAGCCUUUCUGUCCAAACAACUUGACCUUACUCUUUUUGGCUGGCCCCCACCCCCAUGACUGUAUCUCUCUGAUCCACCUGACAUUCACUCCAUUUCCCCGUAUUUCCUUCUUUCAUGUUCCUCACCCUGAUCACACUUGGUUUAUUGAUGGCAGUUCCACCAGGCCUAACCGCCACUCACCAGCAAAGGCAGGCUAUGCUAUAGUAUCUUCCAUAUCUAUCACUGAGGCUACCACUCUGCCCUCCUCCACUACCUCUCAGCAAGCCAAAUUCAUUGCCUUAACUCGAACACUCACUCUUGCAAAGGAAUUAUGCAUCAAUAUUUAUACAGACUGUAAAUAUGCCUUCCAUAUCCUGCACCACCAUGCUGUUAUAUGGGCUGAAAGAGGUUUCCUCACUAUGCAAGGGUCCUCCAUCAUUAAUGCCUCUUUAAUAAAAACUCUUCUCAAGGCCGCUUUACUUCCCAAGAAAGCUGGAGUCAUACACUGCAAGGGCCACUAAAAGACAUCAGAUCCCAUUGCUCAGGGCAACGCUUAUGCUGAUAAGGUAGCUAAAGAAGCACCUAGUGUUCCAACUUCUGUCCCUCAUGGCCAGUUUUUCUCCUUCUAAUUGGUCACUCCUAUUUACUCUCCUACUGAAGUUUCCACCUAUCAAUCUCUUCCCGCACAAGGCAAAUUGUUCUUGGACCAAGGAAAAUAUCUCCUUCCAGCCUCACAUGCCCAUUCUAUUCUGUUGUCAUUUCAUAACCUCUUCCACGGUAGGUUACAAGCCGUUAGUCUGCCUCUUCAAACCUCUCAUUUCCUUUCCAUCGUGAAUAUCUAUCCCCAGUCCUCCACUCUUGACUCCCUCUUGGAGUGGAUAGAUGAUCUUUGCUGACAGGACACAUUCCAACACUUUCACCCUGAUGAAGUCCUAUUCUUUACUUUUAUACUCACUCUUAUUCUUGUUCCCAUUCUUAUUGCCACCCUCUACCUCUCCCCAGCUAUCUCCACCACACUAUCAAUUUCACUCACUCUCUCCUAGCUAUUUCUAAUCCUUCUUUAACAAACAAUUGCUGGCUUUGCAUUUCUCUUUCCUCCAAAAUCACCAAGGCCUCAAUUUACUCACUGCUGAAAAGGGAGGACUCUGUAUAUUUUUAAAUGAAGAGUGUUGUUUUUACCUUAAUCAAUCUGGCCUGGUAUAUGACAACAUAAAAAAACUCAAGGAUAGAGCCCCAAAACUCGUCAACUAAGAAUAUAAUUAUGCUGAACCCCCUUGGGCACUCUCUAAUUGGAUGUCCUGGGUUCUCCCAAUUCUUAGUCCUUUAAUACUUGUUUUUCUCCUUCUCUUAUUCAGAAGUUGUGUCUGUCAUUUAGUUUCUCAAUUCAUACAAAACCACAUUCAGGCCAUCACCAAUAAUUCUAUAUGACAAAUGCUCCUUCUAACAACUCCACAAUAUCACCCCUUACCCCAAAAUAUUUCUUCAGUUUAAUCUCUCCCACUCUAGGUUCUCACACCACCCCAAUCCCACUUGGAGCAGCCCUGAGAAACAUUGCCCAUUAUCUCUCCAUACCACCCCAAAAAUUUUUGCCACACCAACACUUCACCACUAUUUUGUUUUGUUUUUCUUAUUAAUACAUGAAGACAGGAAUGUCAGGCCUCUGAACCCAAGCUAAGCCAUCAUAUCCCCUGUGACCUGCAUUUAUACAUCCAGAUGGCCUGAAGCAAAUGAAGAUCCACAAAAGAAGUAAAAAUAGCCUUAACUGAUGACAUUCCACCAUUGUCAUCUGCCCUACCCUAACUGAGAAGAUAUAUUCUCCCCCGCCCUUAAGAAGGUACUUUGUAUGCCUAUCCCAAACCUAUAAGAACUAAUGAUAAUCCCAGCGCCCUUUGAUGACUCUUUUUUCUGACUCAGCCCACCUGUACCCAGGUGAAAUAAACAGCCUUGUUGCUCACACAAA